UGAAAAUUAAAUAGCCGCAGAAUAUUUACUGUGCUAAGGUAGCAUAAUCAUUUGUUUUUUAAUUAAAAACUAGAAUGAAAGGUUUAACAUUUUAAUUUCUUUUUAAAUUAUUUCUAUUAAAAUUAUAUUAAAUAUAAAAAUAUAUUCUAUUUUAAAAAAAGACGACAAGACCCUAUUGAAUUUUACUUUUGUUAAGCUGGGGCAGCUAAUUAAUUAUAAUUUUAAUAUUUUAUUUUAUAAAAUGAUCCAAUAAAUUUGAUUACUUGAUUAAAUUACCAUAGGGAUAACAGCGUAAUUUUUUUUUUUAGUUCUUAUUUAAAUAAAAGUUUGCGACCUCGAUGUUGAAUUAAUAUUCUAUGCCACGCAAUAGUCGUAAAAGUAGGUCUGUUCGACCUUUAAUAUAUUACA
rnacentral:rRNA from 1 species